rnacentral:rRNA from 1 species
AGUGAAGCGGCAACAGCUCAAAUUUGAAAUCGGCCCCCCGGUCGAGUUGUAAUUUGCAGAGGAUGCUUCUGGGCAGCGGCCGGUCUAAGUUCCUUGGAACAGGACGUCAUAGAGGGUGAGAAUCCCGUAUGCGACCGGCGCGCACCCUCCACGUAGCUCCUUCGACGAGUCGAGUUGUUUGGGAAUGCAGCUCUAAAUGGGAGGUAAAUUUCUUCUAAAGCUAAAUACCGGCCAGAGACCGAUAGCGCACAAGUAGAGUGAUCGAAAGAUGAAAAGCACUUUGGAAAGAGAGUUAAAAAGCACGUGAAAUUGUUGAAAGGGAAGCGCUUGCCACCAGACUUGACGGCGGGGUUCCGCCGGUCUUCUGACCGGUCCACUCCCCGCCGGCAGGCCAACAUCGUCUGGGGCCGCCGGAUAAGACGUCGGGAAUGUAGCUCCUCGGAGUGUUAUAGCCCGGCGUGAUGCGGCGCGCCCCGGGCGAGGUCCGCGCUUCGGCAAGGAUGUUGGCGUAAUGGUGGCCAGCGGCCCGUCUUGAAACACGGACCAAGGAGUCUAACAUCUAUGCGAGUGUUCGGGUGUCAAACCCCUACGCGGAAUGAAAGUGAACGGAGGUGGGAGCUUCGGCGCACCAUCGACCGAUCCUGAUGUCCUCGGAUGGAUUUGAGUAAGAGCAUAGCUGUUGGGACCCGAAAGAUGGUGAACUAUGCCUGAAUAGGGUGAAGCCAGAGGAAACUCUGGUGGAGGCUCGCAGCGGUUCUGACGUGCAAAUCGAUCGUCAAAUUUGGGUAUAGGGGCGAAAGACUAAU